CUCUUAUCCAGAGCGGUAGAGGGACUGGCCCUUUGAAGCCCGGCAACCUACACUUGUUGUAAGGUGCUAACCUGAGCAGGAUUUCUUGUAAUCCUGAUCGAUGAGAG
rnacentral:ncRNA from 2 species